UCGGCAACGGAUAUCUCGGCUCACGCAUCGAUGAAGAACGUAGCAAAAUGCGAUACUUGGUGUGAAUUGCAGAAUCCCGUGAACCAUCGAGUUUUUGAACGCAAGUUGCGCCCGAAGCCUUUUGGCCGAGGGCACGUCUGCCUGGGCGUCACAC
rnacentral:rRNA from 1 species